AUCCCGGAUUAACUCGCUUAGCUGUUCUUCUGAUUCAUGGGAGGCCGAGAUCGUUGCUGGCCGGUUUCGCUGAUAGCGCCUUCUUCUCCCUGGAGGCGCUUCAUUAGUAACUGGCCACACACAC
rnacentral:snoRNA from 1 species